UUAAAAGUACUGUUUGUGGCAGUUGAAUUUGUUUGUGAAGUAUGCAAGGAAAAUGGAUUAUCACUACUUUGUCCUUCAAUAACGGGGUUAAAUUGCGCUGAGGGAAUCCAAGCGGCUAGUGCAGCAGCAGGAACAGGUUCUGAAGAUUUGGGUUCGUUAUGUGCUCGAUGCCUUUUAUUCUUCACCCCCAUUGGUGGAACGAGAGGAGUAGCGACUGAUGCCACAAAUGGUUCGAUGUCCCAAGGAGAAACUCUGUCAGGUCUUGGAACAGACGCAGGCUCAUCCCAUUGAACCUUCAAUGAUCGCCAUUUUGAAUCUUUCCACUGUGAGGAACUAUCUUCAACUCCUACUAUGGUACCUGUAAAUCUUUUCUCAG
rnacentral:misc_RNA from 1 species